rnacentral:rRNA from 1 species
AGGUGUAAUCAUACCAACACUAAAGCAUCAUAUCACAUUAGCUCCAAUGUUAAGUGUGCUUAGGAUAAGAUUAAUAUUAAUAUGAGUGAAUCCUUGAGAAGUCAUCGUGUUGCACCCC